AACGAACGCUGGCGGCGUGCCUAACACAUGCAAGUCGAGCGAUCUCUUCGGAGAGAGCGGCGGACGGGUGAGUAACGCGUGGGUAACCUGACCUGUACACACGGAUAACAUCCCGAAAGGUAUACUAAUACGGGAUAACAUACGAAAGUCGCAUGGCUUUUGUAUCAAAGCUUCGGCGGUACAGGAGUGACCCUCGUCUGGUUAGCUAGUUGGUAAGGUAAUGGAUUACCAAGGCAACGAUCAGUAGCCGGACUGAGAGGGUGAUCGGCCACAGGUGAACGGAGACGCGGUCGAUACGCCGACGGGAGGCAGCAGUGGGGAAUAUUGCCAGAUGGGCGAAAGGCUCAUGCAGCAGCGCCGCGUGAGCGAUGAAGGCCUUCGGGUCGUAAAGCUCAGUCCGCAAGGAAGAUAAUGACGGUACUUGAGGAGGAGGCACCGGCUAACUACGUGCCAGCAGCAGCCGCGGUAA
rnacentral:rRNA from 1 species